rnacentral:sRNA from 1 species
CGAUCGACCUGUCCUCGAGAUAGGAGCC